rnacentral:sRNA from 1 species
AACUAGCCCAGAUGGAAACGGCAUCCUUUUAUGCCUCGUCUUUUUGGACGAGACAUAAAAGAUAUAGUGGACAGCUGGAAAUAGC